rnacentral:rRNA from 1 species
GGGUUGUGAGGUUAAGCGACUAAGCGUACACGGUGGAUGCCCUGGCAGUCAGAGGCGAUGAAGGACGUGCUAAUCUGCGAUAAGCGUCGGUAAGGUGAUAUGAACCGUUAUAACCGGCGAUUUCCGAAUGGGGAAACCCAGUGUGAUUCGUCACACUAUCAUUAACUGAAUCCAUAGGUUAAUGAGGCGAACCGGGGGAACUGAAACAUCUAAGUACCCCGAGGAAAAGAAAUCAACCGAGAUUCCCCCAGUAGCGGCGAGCGAACGGGGAGCAGCCCAGAGCCUGAAUCAGUGUGUGUGUUAGUGGAAGCGUCUGGAAAGGCGCGCGAUACAGGGUGACAGCCCCGUACACAAAAAUGCACAUGCUGUGAGCUCGAUGAGUAGGGCGGGACACGUGGUAUCCUGUCUGAAUAUGGGGGGACCAUCCUCCAAGGCUAAAUACUCCUGACUGACCGAUAGUGAACCAGUACCGUGAGGGAAAGGCGAAAAGAACCCCGGCGAGGGGAGUGAAAAAGAACCUGAAACCGUGUACGUACAAGCAGUGGGAGCACGCUUAGGCGUGUGACUGCGUACCUUUUGUAUAAUGGGUCAGCGACUUAUAUUCUGUAGCAAGGUUAACCGAAUAGGGGAGCCGAAGGGAAACCGAGUCUUAACUGGGCGUUAAGUUGCAGGGUAUAGACCCGAAACCCGGUGAUCUAGCCAUGGGCAGGUUGAAGGUUGGGUAACACUAACUGGAGGACCGAACCGACUAAUGUUGAAAAAUUAGCGGAUGACUUGUGGCUGGGGGUGAAAGGCCAAUCAAACCGGGAGAUAGCUGGUUCUCCCCGAAAGCUAUUUAGGUAGCGCCUCGUGAAUUCAUCUCCGGGGGUAGAGCACUGUUUCGGCAAGGGGGUCAUCCCGACUUACCAACCCGAUGCAAACUGCGAAUACCGGAGAAUGUUAUCACGGGAGACACACGGCGGGUGCUAACGUCCGUCGUGAAGAGGGAAACAACCCAGACCGCCAGCUAAGGUCCCAAAGUCAUGGUUAAGUGGGAAACGAUGUGGGAAGGCCCAGACAGCCAGGAUGUUGGCUUAGAAGCAGCCAUCAUUUAAAGAAAGCGUAAUAGCUCACUGGUCGAGUCGGCCUGCGCGGAAGAUGUAACGGGGCUAAACCAUGCACCGAAGCUGCGGCAGCGACGCUUAUGCGUUGUUGGGUAGGGGAGCGUUCUGUAAGCCUGCGAAGGUGUGCUGUGAGGCAUGCUGGAGGUAUCAGAAGUGCGAAUGCUGACAUAAGUAACGAUAAAGCGGGUGAAAAGCCCGCUCGCCGGAAGAC